rnacentral:rRNA from 1 species
GAACUUACCAGGCCUUGACAUGCAGAGAACUUUCCAGAGAUGGAUUGGUGCCUUCGGGAACUCUGACACAGGUGCUGCAUAGCUGUCGUCAGCUCGUGUCGUGAGAUGUUGGGUUAAGUCCGUAACGAGCGCAACCCUUGUCCUUAGUUACCAGCACGUUAUGGUGGGCACUCUAAGGAGACUGCCGGUGACAAACCGGAGGAAGGUGGGGAUGACGUCAAGUCAUCAUGGCCCUUACGGCCUGGGCUACACACGUGCUACAAUGGUCGGUACAAAGGGUUGCCAAGCCGCGAGGUGGAGCUAAUCCCAUAAAACCGAUCGUAGUCCGGAUCGCAGUCUGCAACUCGACUGCGUGAAGUCGGAAUCGCUAGUAAUCGUGAAUCAGAAUGUCACGGUGAAUACGUUCCCGGGCCUUG